rnacentral:rRNA from 1 species
UACGAAGGUGGCAAGCGUUACUCGGAAUUACUAGGCGUAAAGGGCAGGUAGGUGGUUCUGUAAGUCUGUUGUGAAAGCUCCUGGCUUAACUGGGAGAGGUCAACGGAUACUGCAGAACUUGAGUAUAGGAGAGGUUACUGGAAUUCCCGGUGUAGCGGUGAAAUGCGCAGAGAUCGGGAGGAACACCAAUGGCGAAAGCAGGUAACUGGACUAUUACUGACACUCAGCUGCGAAAGCUAGGGGAGCAAACAGG